rnacentral:pre_miRNA from 1 species
CUUGUACUCCCUCCGACCGAAAAUACUUGUCAUUGAAAUGGAUGUAUCUAGAUGUAUUUUAGUUCUAGACACAUCCAUUUUGAUGACAAGUAAUUCCGGACGGAGGGAGUACUUG